CUAACACAUGCAAGUCGAACGGAUUUGAGGGGCUUGCUCCUCAAGUUAGUGGCGCACGGGUGAGUAACGCGUAGAUAAUCUGCCUGAUGAUCCGGGAUAACACUUCGAAAGGGGUGCUAAUACCGGAUAAGCCCACGGGGUCUUUGGAUUCUGCGGGAAAAGGGGGGGACCUUCGGGCCUUCUGUCAUCAGAUGAGUCUGCGUACCAUUAGCUAGUUGGUAGGGUAAUGGYCUACCMAGGCUACSAUGGUUAGCUGGUUUGAGAGAAUGAUCAGCCWCACUGGAACUGAGACACGGUCCASACUCCUACSGGAGGCAKCAKUGGGGAAUUUUGCGCAAUGGSCGAAAGCCUGACGCAGCAACGCCKYGUGAGUGAUGAAGGYUUUCGGGUCG
rnacentral:rRNA from 1 species